UACGGAGGGUACGAGCGUUGCUCGGAAUUACUGGGCGUAAAGCGUACGCAGGCGGCUUGGUGUGUCGGAUGUGAAAGCCCCGGGCUCAACCCGGGAACGGCAUUCGAAACUGCCGAGCUGGAGUUCGGGAGAGGGAAGUGGAAUUCCUGGUGUAGAGGUGAAAUUCGUUGAUAUCAGGAGGAACACCGGCGGCGAAAGCGGCUUCCUGGCCCGAUACUGACGCUCAUGUACGAAAGCGUGGGGAGCAAACAGG
rnacentral:rRNA from 1 species